GACGAACGCUGGCGGCGUGCUUAACACAUGCAAGUCGAACGGAAAGGCCCUGCUUUUGUGGGGUGCUCGAGUGGCGAACGGGUGAGUAACACGUGGGUAACCUGCCCUUGACUUUGGGAUAACUUCAGGAAACUGGGGCUAAUACCGGAUAGGAGCUCCUGCUGCAUGGUGGGGGUUGGAAAGUUUCGGCGGUUGGGGAUGGACUCGCGGCUUAUCAGCUUGUUGGUGGGGUAGUGGCUUACCAAGGCUUUGACGGGUAGCCGGCCUGAGAGGGUGACCGGCCACAUUGGGACUGGGAUACGGCCCAGACUCCUACGGGAGGCAGCAGUGGGGAAUAUUGCACAAUGGGCGGAAGCCUGAUGCAGCAACGCCGCGUGCGGGAUGACGGCCUUCGGGUUGUAAACCGCUUUCGCCUGUGACGAAGCGUGAGUGACGGUAAUGGGUAAAGAAGCACCGGCUAACUACGUG
rnacentral:rRNA from 1 species